rnacentral:hammerhead_ribozyme from 1 species
AUCCGGCUGACGAAUCCCAAGUAGAACUAAAUGCGCUUCCUGGAU